AGUGAACGCUGGCGGCAGGCCUAACACAUGCAAGUCGAACGGCCGCACCGUGAGCGCUUGCUCUUGCGGGUGGCGAGUGGCGGACGGGUAACUCAUGCAUCGGACACUUCUUUUACUGGGGUGAUAACGUCGGAACAGUUCCUCUAAUACAGCAUAUAUCCUACUGGUGGGUGCAGGCGUUCUUCGAGCCUUUGGCGUUUGUAUGAGCCGAUGUCGGAUUAGCUCGGUGGCUGGGUAAAGGCACACCAUGGCGACGCUCCGUAGCUGGUCUGAGCGGGUGAUCAGCCAGACUGGAACUGAGACACGGUCCAGACUCCUACGGGAGGCAGCAGUAGGGAAUAUUGCGCAAUGGGCGAAAGCCUGAUCCAGCCAUACCGCGUGAGUGAAGAAGGACUUCGGAUGGUAAAACCCUGUUGUUGGGAAAGAAAAGAAGUAGGUUAAUACCCCGCUGUACUGACGGUACCCAAAGAAUAAGCACCGGCUAACUUCGUG
rnacentral:rRNA from 1 species